UAACAACUUCCUGUCUGUCAAUGAAAGUGAAAGCGAUUUAAAACUGCCAUUUUGUCAAGAAACGCGAAUAUGAUUCUGGAAAAAUAAAAAGAUAUUUUUAUUGCCAGUUCCUGCUGUGCGGUGUGACAGUGACAGACAGAAGUGGCCAGGAUCUACAAAAGUCCCUGGUCCAGACAGCCCAAGAACCUGUAAACAAGGACCAGGUUCCAGAACUUCGGUGUGAAAGCGCCUGAUAAGAGUCAGACUACAAUACACGGGACCUGGUUACAACCCCAAUC